GCUGCUCUCUAAGAAUUGUAAAAGCUGCUGCUAGGCAGUAGGUGAAGACCGUUGUCGCAGGUGUGUCUUCCUGCCCACUUUGGGUGAAUUCGAGCUCAUCGUCCGAAGUAGGAGAGAUACCCUGCAGCAAACUAUAUAUCUGUUAUUGGUUAGUCUGAGAGGAAGAAUUAAAUCAGUUUGGAAACAUACAAAAUAGCAAUUAGAUAUUCGAACACGAUGUAGAAGAUGAAAUUCUAAACCAGGGAAUAUGGAAGAAAUAAAGAAUAUAAUAAUGAUAAUAA
rnacentral:lncRNA from 1 species